ensembl:misc_RNA
UUGACAGCCCUGGAAAUUGAAGUUCCUUUUUUAUCUACAGAACAGGUACAGCAUGUACAGAGGCAGCAUAAACCUAGGCUGCUGAUGUGUCUGAGCUCCGUUCUCAGCUUAACAACCUGAAAGGAAGAGGGAAUAGGCCGUUCCUCACAGCCCUUCUGGGUUGCCUUGCU